UACAGAGGGGGCAAGCGUUGUUCGGAAUUACUGGGCGUAAAGGGCGCGUAGGCGGCCUGCUAAGUCGAACGUGAAAUCCCCGGGCUCAACCCGGGAACUGCGUCCGAUACUGGCAGGCUUGAAUCCGGGAGAGGGAUGUGGAAUUCCAGGUGUAGCGGUGAAAUGCGUAGAUAUCUGGAGGAACACCGGUGGCGAAGGCGGCAUCCUGGACCGGUAUUGACGCUGAUGCGCGAAAGCUAGGGGAGCGAACGGG
rnacentral:rRNA from 1 species